rnacentral:miRNA from 10 species
UUUCUAUCAGAUUGGUGCAAAAGUUAUUGCGGUUUUUGUCAUUACCUUUAAUGGUAAAACUGCAAUUACUUUUGCACCAACCUAAUA